rnacentral:Y_RNA from 1 species
GGCUGGGCUGAAGGCAGUGAGUUAUGUCACUUGAUUGUUCACAGUCAGUUAGAUUGAACUCCCUGUUCUACUUCCCUUCUUAGUACUGCACUUGACUAGUCUUAA